ensembl:lncRNA
GAGUCUGUGCUCGAGUCCGUUCCCGCACCAGUCGUGGGCUUCCUGGUCAGUUUCUUCAUGAGAAGCUGACUGACUAGCUAAUCGAAGAAGAGGACGGAGAAACGACCAACCCGUAUGAACACAGCCUCUUUGGCCUGGCCCUGCAUCCGUGCAGCUUCUUGUGAUCUCAAGUGACCAUAGGAACCAUGAUCAGUCCUGGCAGCUGUUGGAGGGAAGUUCAUUCAGCUGAUAUACCUGCGCAAGUAUGGAAUCACCUAUGUACAAAAUCACUCACUACAGCAUUUGUCUAUGAGAGCGGUCUUUUCCACAAGGGACUGGAUGAAUUCAAUAUGGUACAUCCACCUAGUGGAAAGCUGUUCGGUGGUUAAAAAGAAAGAGGACAAUCUCCCUGUAUGGACAUGUAGAGAUCUCCAGGAUAUGUUCUGUGACCAAAACUAGGUAC